rnacentral:rRNA from 1 species
UACGAAGGGGGCUAGCGUUGUUCGGAAUUACUGGGCGUAAAGCGCACGUAGGCGGACAUUUAAGUCAGGGGUGAAAUCCCAGAGCUCAACUCUGGAACUGCCUUUGAUACUGGGUGUCUUGAGUAUGGAAGAGGUGAGUGGAAUUCCGAGUGUAGAGGUGAAAUUCGUAGAUAUUCGGAAGAACACCAGUGGCGAAGGCGACUUACUGGACAUCUGUUGACGCUGAGGUGCGAAAGCGUGGGGAGCAAACAGG